GGAGCAUUUAUAGCACCACAAAACCAAGGAUCUCGAUCUUUGUCAUUAAAGUGAUUGUGCAAGACCAAGCCCUCCACAAAACUGUGAAGGACAGCCGGUUCACUCACCUCCGUCCUCCGUUGUGUCGGCUGGGCUUGCCUACCUGCCCUCUCCUCUCGGGCUUCCUCCACGGCAUCCUCCCGGCUUUUCCUCGUGCCUCACAGUCAGCUUGCCACCAACCCCCCGGUCAGUUCUCCUGUGCCUCCUCUCUUCUUGGUCCCCGGUGGCUCCCGGCUCCCUUGUCUCAGCCUCCUCUGCCCUACAGUACAUGGCUCCUCUGUCCCCCGUGCCCAUGUUCCCCCGGCAUCCACCUCUCGCUCACCUCCACCCCCUCAACCCCUUUUUUUCCCUUAAUAAAACCUGUUGAAUCCUGA